GAGAGAGAAGCAUAUGUGGUUUGAUGCAGUUGGCUUGAAACCAGCAGACGAGGGUUCGAUUCCUUCCUUUCUUG
rnacentral:tRNA from 1 species